rnacentral:rRNA from 1 species
GAUGAACGUUAGCUACAGGCUUAACACAUGCAAGUCGAGGGGAAACGAUAUUGGAAGCUUGCUUCCGAUAGGCGUCGACCGGCGCACGGGUGAGUAACGCGUAUCCAACCUGCCCAUCACUUGGGGAUAACCUUGCGAAUGUAAGACUAAUACCCAAUGACGUCUCUAGAAGACAUCUGAAAGAGAUUAAAGAUUUAUCGGUAAUGGAUGGGGAUGCGUCUGAUUAGCUUGUUGGCGGGGUAACGGCCAACCAAGGCGACGAUCAGUAGGGGUUCUGAGAGGAAGGUCCCCAACAUUGGAACUGAGACACGGUCCAAACUCCUACGGGAGGCAGCAGUGAGGAAUAUUGGUCAAUGGGCGAGAGCCUGAACCAGCCAAGUAGCGUGCAGGAUGACGGCCCUAUGGGUUGUAAACUGCUUUUAUAAGGGAAUAAAGUGAGAGUCGUGACUCUUUUUGCAUGUACCUUAUGAAUAAGGACCGGCUAAUUCCGUGCCAGCCGCCGCGGUAA